CAGUAGCCGCGGGAAUACGAACCGUGCGAACGUUAUUCGGAAUCACUGGGCUUAAAGCGCGUGUAGGCGGAUUGGUGCGUCGGUGCCUGAAAUCCCCCGGCUCAACCGGGGAACGCGGCCCGAAACGACCAGUCUGGAGGGACGUAGGGGGAACUGGAACUUCCGGUGGAGCGGUGAAAUGCGUUGAGAUCGGAAGGAACGCCCGUGGCGAAAGCGAGUUCCUGGACGUCUGCUGACGCUGAGACGCGAAAGCUAGGGGAGCGAACGGGAUUAGAUACCCGCGUAGUCCCUGUCUCUUAUA
rnacentral:rRNA from 1 species